rnacentral:rRNA from 2 species
AAAUUGAAGAGUUUGAUCAUGGCUCAGAUUGAACGCUGGCGGCAGGCCUAACACAUGCAAGUCGAGCGGUAGCACAGAGAGCUUGCUCUCGGGUGACGAGCGGCGGACGGGUGAGUAAUGUCUGGGAAACUGCCUGAUGGAGGGGGAUAACUACUGGAAACGGUAGCUAAUACCGCAUAACGUCGCAAGACCAAAGUGGGGGACCUUCGGGCCUCAUGCCAUCAGAUGUGCCCAGAUGGGAUUAGCUAGUAGGUGGGGUAAUGGCUCACCUAGGCGACGAUCCCUAGCUGGUCUGAGAGGAUGACCAGCCACACUGGAACUGAGACACGGUCCAGACUCCUACGGGAGGCAGCAGUGGGGAAUAUUGCACAAUGGGCGCAAGCCUGAUGCAGCCAUGCCGCGUGUGUGAAGAAGGCCUUCGGGUUGUAAAGCACUUUCAGCGGGGAGGAAGGCGAUAAGGUUAAUAACCUUGUCGAUUGACGUUACCCGCAGAAGAAGCACCGGCUAACUCCGUGCCAGCAGCCGCGGUAAUACGGAGGGUGCAAGCGUUAAUCGGAAUUACUGGGCGUAAAGCGCACGCAGGCGGUCUGUCAAGUCGGAUGUGAAAUCCCCGGGCUUAACCUGGGAACUGCAUUCGAAACUGGCAGGCUAGAGUCUUGUAGAGGGGGGUAGAAUUCCAGGUGUAGCGGUGAAAUGCGUAGAGAUCUGGAGGAAUACCGGUGGCGAAGGCGGCCCCCUGGACAAAGACUGACGCUCAGGUGCGAAAGCGUGGGGAGCAAACAGGAUUAGAUACCCUGGUAGUCCACGCCGUAAACGAUGUCGAUUUGGAGGUUGUGCCCUUGAGGCGUGGCUUCCGGAGCUAACGCGUUAAAUCGACCGCCUGGGGAGUACGGCCGCAAGGUUAAAACUCAAAUGAAUUGACGGGGGCCCGCACAAGCGGUGGAGCAUGUGGUUUAAUUCGAUGCAACGCGAAGAACCUUACCUGGUCUUGACAUCCACAGAACUUUCCAGAGAUGGAUUGGUGCCUUCGGGAACUGUGAGACAGGUGCUGCAUGGCUGUCGUCAGCUCGUGUUGUGAAAUGUUGGGUUAAGUCCCGCAACGAGCGCAACCCUUAUCCUUUGUUGCCAGCGGUCCGGCCGGGAACUCAAAGGAGACUGCCAGUGAUAAACUGGAGGAAGGUGGGGAUGACGUCAAGUCAUCAUGGCCCUUACGACCAGGGCUACACACGUGCUACAAUGGCAUAUACAAAGAGAAGCGACCUCGCGAGAGCAAGCGGACCUCAUAAAGUAUGUCGUAGUCCGGAUUGGAGUCUGCAACUCGACUCCAUGAAGUCGGAAUCGCUAGUAAUCGUAGAUCAGAAUGCUACGGUGAAUACGUUCCCGGGCCUUGUACACACCGCCCGUCACACCAUGGGAGUGGGUUGCAAAAGAAGUAGGUAGCUUAACCUUCGGGAGGGCGCUUACCACUUUGUGAUUCAUGACUGGGGUGAAGUCGUAACAAGGUAACCGUAGGGGAACCUGCGGUUGGAUCACCUCCUUACCUUAAAGAA